CAUAAUUAACUACAUUGAUAUAUUGUCUAAUGAGCUUUGGUUUGAAAGGAGCAUGCCUCUCCCACCAAAAAAAGCACCCAGUAUCUUGAAGAAAGGAGAAGUAACAUCACCAACAAAAAAGACGAAAGUAAAACUUGAAUGCUUUUUCACAUUGUGCAACCAACCAAUUCCUUUGAGGGCCUUGGAAAUCCUAACAAGAUUAGGCCUUCCCAUCCCCAAAUUCAAACUUGAAUGCUUGUAAGCAGCAAGGCUGCCCAUUUGUCAUCUCAAAUUCCUCCUCCUCAUCUUCUAUUUCAUCCCCAUACUAAUCUUUUUUACUAUUCUUAAUAUUCCUCUUCUUCGUAUUGGCUGGCCAUUCGCUUCGACUCGCUAUCCUUCAACCGCAGCAUUGUCCCCCCGCCACUCCUUUUCCUUUCUCAUGGAUCCGACAUUCGUACCCAAAUUUGGCCAACUCUCGAGAUUCCAAG
rnacentral:lncRNA from 1 species